AUUGAACGCUGGCGGCAUGCCUUACACAUGCAAGUCGAACGGCAGCACGGGUGCUUGCACCUGGUGGCGAGUGGCGAACGGGUGAGUAAUAUAUCGGAACGUGCCCUAGAGUGGGGGAUAACUAGUCGAAAGAUUAGCUAAUACCGCAUACGAUCUACGGAUGAAAGUGGGGGAUCGCAAGACCUCAUGCUCUUGGAGUGGCCGAUAUCUGAUUAGCUAGUUGGUGGGGUAAAAGCUCACCAAGGCGACGAUCAGUAGCUGGUCUGAGAGGACGACCAGCCACACUGGAACUGAGACACGGUCCAGACUCCUACGGGAGGCAGCAGUGGGGAAUUUUGGACAAUGGGGGCAACCCUGAUCCAGCAAUGCCGCGUGAGUGAAGAAGGCCUUCGGGUUGUAAAGCUCUUUUGUCAGGGAAGAAACGGUGAGAGCUAAUAUCUCUUGCUAAUGACGGUACCUGAAGAAUAAGCACCGGCUAACUACGUGCCAGCCGCCGCAGUAA
rnacentral:rRNA from 1 species